rnacentral:rRNA from 1 species
GAUGAACGCUGGCGGCGUGCCUAAUACAUGCAAGUCGAGCGAACGGACGAGAAGCUUGCUUUUCUGAUGUUAGCGGCGGACGGGGGAGUAAAACGUGGAUAACCUACCUAUAAGACUGGGAUAACUUCGGGAAACCGGAGCUAAUACCGGAUAAUAUUUUGAACCGCCUGGGUCAAAAGUGGAAGAAGGUCUUUCUGUCACUUAUAGAUGGAUCCGCGCUGCAUUAGCUAGUUGGUAAGGUAACGGCUUACCAAGGCAACGAUGCAUAGCCGACCUGAGAGGGUGAUCGGCCACACUGGAACUGAGACACGGUCCAGACUCCUACGGGAGGCAGCAGUAGGGAAUCUUCCGCAAUGGGCGAAAGCCUGACGGAGCAACGCCGCGUGAGUGAUGAAGGUCUUCGGAUCGUAAAACUCUGUUAUUAGGGAAGAACAUAUGUGUAAGUAACUGUGCACAUCUUGACGGUACCUAAUCAGAAAGCCACGGCUAACUACGUG